UGCAAAAUUUCCAUCUAAAAGCUCUUCGCAGACCAAGAUUUAAAGUUAACAACUUAUAACCAUAAGUAUUUAUUACAGAUCCAUUAGCAGCAAACAGUUUAACAGAGGUUGGUGACGACUUUGGGCAAAAUCUUCUUGGAAUAAGCGAAAUAUCUGUUCCUGUAUCCACUAAAAAAUGUAAUCCAGAAGACUUGUUAGAGAAAAUGAGGCGAUUAUUAAUAGACCCGUUGUCUGACGCCUUGACAUCCAACGGCAAACUUAGUUUUCCUGUUUAUCAGUGAGGGUUAAAGUUUUGGACAUAGAACAAGAAGCAUUUUCAACAAUGUCGGAAACAGUUAAAAGCGCCUUUUCAUCCAAGUGUUUAAGAAUCGAGCUGAAUUUAAUUUCAUCUGAACGGAUUCUAUAUACUAGAAAUUCGCUCUCUAAUUGAGCAAACCAGAGUUUCGGAUGCUUGUGCCAGAAAGUUGGUAAUUUUACAAGGCGAAAUUCAUUGGAAUUGACUUGUCUCGACUCACCGGAUUGAAGUAGAUCAGCACCCGUCAAAUUGGCUCCUCCUAAAUAUACUCCAAAAAAGGCAUGAUGAAGAGUCACUUUAUAUGAAGUUCAGUGAACCCAAGAUCUCGCCAACGUCCUAGCCAGACUCUCUAUUUGAAGAUAUCGUUCCAAAAUAUUAUCCUAUGACCUCGAUCUCUUCAAAAAUUGUCAAGAAGAUCACGUCGGGGUUACCAAUUUGUAGCGCCUCAAUUAUUUAAGAAUGACUUUCACAGCUUUUGGAAUAAAGAUUUAAUUCAAGAAGUUUACGUUCCAGUAAUUCUAAA